CUGUUCUAGGAUAAAAGGGGAUAAGUAGGUUUAAAUAGUGGUAGAGGAAAAAAAGAGACUUUUGACCUACAGAAAAGGAGUAAGGCAGGUGUUGCAAAGGAGGAAUGUAGAGAGAAAGCACAGUGAUUUUGGCAGCUGAUGGAAAAAGAGGGGAACUCAGGAAUUAAUGGGUGAUGUUUAGCAGGUGUGGUUGAUGCUGCUGGUGCCUCGCCCAGGCCCUCUAUACCUACCAGAGCACCAGAGCCCAGAUGUAACAGUGUUGGCUGAUAAUAACUGACCCAUCCCCCUUCUCCAAAUGGAAGCCACUGUCCCUAGAAGGUUAGCCUACCCUCCCUUCACUCCAGGAGGCAGCCCAGGGGUACAAAAAGCUUGGUUCUUUUGCCUCAAGAUGAGAAGAUAGGAUCAACUUUGUGGUGUAAUUCAUGUUCCAGAGCCUCUUGUGCAAUCAAUCUGAGACUCAAUUCUGAUGAAAUCCCCAUUCUUGCCUAGUCUUCUAUUCCCCCUCUUACUCAUCUUCCCCCGAAGUACUCUCCCACACAUCUCCUAACAAGAAUCCCAUCUCAGAUUCUGCUACGAGGACACCUGACCUAAGACAGGAAGAUUUACACUGUACCUGUGAUGCUACCCACUUUCUCCAUGCUCCCUGUCCCAGGAAAUCUCAGGAAUGCAGGCAUAGUUGUGUUGUGCAGGAAAGAUGGCUUGGCAUUGAAGGCCCUUGUUUAAGGGAAAGAACACAAAGAACUCCAAACCAAGGGCAUCCCCCUACCUGGUCACACAUCACAGUCAGCUGAAGGAAAACAGUCCUGAUGGCUCCUUCUCAUCCCCUUGGCUUCUGUUACUGCCUCAUAUUGGAGACACCCCUGGUUUUUCACAUGCAUGAGAGAGAAAAGGAGCCUUGCACUUUCUGAAGCCCCUUGUGCCAAGAGGGAAACCCAGGAACAGAAGGUGAGAGGUCUGACAUCAGUAUAGUACCUAUU
rnacentral:lncRNA from 1 species